rnacentral:rRNA from 1 species
AUUGAACGCUGGCGGCAUGCUUUACACAUGCAAGUCGAACGGUAACAGGGGCUUCGGCCCGCUGACGAGUGGCGAACGGGUGAGUAAUGUAUCGGAACGUGCCCAGUAGUGGGGGAUAACUACUCGAAAGAGUAGCUAAUACCGCAUGAGAACUGAGGUUGAAAGCGGGGGAUCUUCGGACCUCGCGCUACUGGAGCGGCGGAUAUCAGAUUAGGUAGUUGGUGAGGUAAAGGCUUACCAAGCCUGCGAUCUGUAGCUGGUCUGAGAGGACGACCAGCCACACGGGGACUGAGACACGGCCCAGACUCCUACGGGAGGCAGCAGUGGGGAAUUUUGGACAAUGGGCGCAAGCCUGAUCCAGCAAUGCCGCGUGCAGGACGAAGGCCUUCGGGUUGUAAACUGCUUUUGUACAGAACGAAAUGUCUCUGGCUAAUACCUGGGGAAGAUGACGGUACUGUAAGAAUAAGCACCGGCUAACUACGUGCCAGCCGCCGCGGUAA